rnacentral:lncRNA from 10 species
UGGGACUACAGGCGCCGGCCACAACGCCCGGCUAAUUAUUUGUAUUUUAGUAGAGAUGGGGUUUCAUCGUGUUAGACAGGAUGGUCUCGAUCUCCUGACCUCGUGAUCCACCCACCUGGGCCUUCCAAAGUGCUGGGAUUACAGGCGUGAGCCACCGAGCCUGGCCAGCAAGUUGAAUUGUUAAAUCAAAUGAGGUGAAAACACAGUCGCAAGAAAUGCGGGCUUGAGGUUCAGGAGGACUUCCCCUGAGAAUCCUGCCACCACAUUGUGAACAAGUCAAGGCUACCAUGGUAGCGUAUGACAGAAGAUGGAGACCAAUCAACAGCAAUCUGGCCCAUGAUUAUGUAAACCAACAGAAUCAAGAUUAGCAGAGCUAACUAUCUGUUUCACUGUUGAUUGCAGAGGCAUGAGAAAACACAUCCUAGAGGAUAACUAAUACCCAACUGAUACAAACAUAGAUGAAUCACUUUUGAGUCACUUUGUUUCAGUGUCAUUUGCUAAGCAGUAAUAUUGACCUUAAAUAAAGAAAGGGUAAGACUAAACAUAACUUUUCUAUUUGAUGACUUAAUUUUAAUUAUUAAAAAAUAUUUUCACCAUAUAUCUCACAAACAACACCUGACUCUACGGUAUAUAACAAAGACACCUAAAAAAAUAAGAAUUUUUAAAACUUGAGAAAUAUAGGUGAGCUUGACUAGUAAGUAUUAAAAAAGUUAAAAUAAAAAUAAUAAUCUGGUUUUGAUCAAAUAUAUGUACAAAAUAAUGUAAUAUUGAAUAAAAUAUAUCAAAAACUUGAAAAAUAGAGAAAAAUACAAUGAUCCCCUCACCUAAAUCCAAAAAUGAGACACAUUCUGAAGUAUUAUUUACACACCACUUUAAAUUAAUUUGUAGAUAUCCUGACAUUCAUCCAUGACUAAACGAGAAUGUUUUAAAUAACAGUAUACUUGCUUAUAUUGCAACAAUAAUAUUAUUCAUAACAAAAUUAACAAAUUAUCAAAUAUUGCCUUGUAUCUUAUUCAUAUUCAACAUUUUUCAAAACAUCUUACGUAAGUGUUUUUAAUUUUAUUUUAUUUUGUGUUUUGUUACAGGAUAUUGUCAAGCAACAAUGAUUUGUCCAACUUUUGUACCUCUUUAGUCUCUGAAUCUACAAUAAUUCCCUCCCAAACAAACACACUUUUUUCCUUUCAUUCUUUCCUACUUCCUCCCUUCUCUCUGCAUUUCUAUCCUGCUCUCUGUCUUUCUCUUUCUCCCUCUCUCUCUGCAUAAUGUAGUUUGCAAUUUAAGAAGCCAUUGUCUUCUACAAUAUCUUUUGUUCUGGAAGAAAAAUCCCUCAACUGUUUUCGAUAAGGGUGAUCCAAAAAAGACAAAAAUGUAUCCUGCUUUACACUAAAAUGCUCAAGGUAAAUUAAUUAUAAAUAUUGAUACUUAAACUAAUUAAUGCCUGGUAGAAAUAAGUGCUACCCUUUUUAUAUUAAACUCUACCAUCUUUGCUCAAAAUCUUCCCAGGAAUAAACAUAUCACACAUUUGGUAUGUAUUUUGAGUUACCCACAGAUAUUCCUUUUCUCCUAGGCCUUAAUUCUUAACCUUAGACUCCGGAAAAAAAGAAAAAGAAAAAAAAACAUUCGGCCCUCCUCUGAAAAUUGAUACCACCUGUACCUAUUUAAUGGGGAAAGAUUUACUUUCCAAACAGAAUUGUAAGAUUACAUUCACACAAGGGCGAGCAAUUCUUGAAAUUCAGGAGAUUUAUCUGGUCAUAUUCAAGUUGUGUCUGCUCCUUUAUCUUUGAAUCAUAUCCCAGAUAAACACCUUCUGGGAUAUGAUUCAAAACAUCUUAAAAUAUUAGCAUCACAUCUAGCAUGCUAUGGGCUAAAAAUUCCACAGACUUAGGAAAAAUAAUUAGAGAAGAACCCAUUAAUGGAUAGAUUCUACCAAAUGAUUUCCCAAACAUCCCUAAUAUCACCUGAACCCCAAAGCAGAAGGACACACAUCUGUAUUUGAAGACUUUAUAUUCAGAAGUGUUCUGGUACAUUGUGUUAGUCUUUUAACCACCCCUGUCCUCCCAGUGAGGAAACCACAUGAGCAGUGAUAUUGAUUUAUUUCAGAACUCAGGGCCAUCAACAAAACUGUUAUUCCUUACUUCUUGGAAAUAAACUAAAAUACAAUUCUCUCAUGAAUUCCACCUGAAACCACCUGUUUCUCUGUAGUGUAUUCUUGUACGGCAUUUUUCAGUGUGCUUCCAAACUAGAACAGUCAACAGCUCUUUCCCUUCACCUGGGGAGGACAAUGACAUGUGGGUAUUCAUAUUCCCAGAAUUUACCAACCCCUGAUCCAUCAAUAAUUUUCUCCAUGUCAUCAGUCAAGACAAAAGAUGUAAAUUUCAUUUCAGAUUCAGUUCUGACGUAAUACAUAGAUGACUACCUACAUUGUGCAGAGAAUAAAGAAAACUACAUAAAGAACUUUAUUUACUUAUUCUCUUAGUAUAUAGGGAACAUAAAGUUUAAAAAGGUAAAUUACAAUUUUGCCAAAAUGCAGUCCCUUAUUUAGGGCAUGACUGUAUGAGGAAAGAAAAAGCCCUCUUUUAUGAUUGACUAAGGACUACCCAAACUUAUCCUAGAAUGCUUACAAAACAAAAACAAAAUAGAUUUCUAGGUUUAAAUGGAUAUUGCAGAUAAUGAAUGUCAACUUUUUCUGAGGUUAAAGUGCUACUUUAUAUGUUGACUAAUGGUUUAAACAUAGUUUUAAUGGCACGGAACUCCUCACCAUUAGGUCAAGCCUUUUAGAGCCCAAAUAGUGCCCCACCCAGGAAGGAGAGGAUCUCACAUUUUCAUGGACCUCCCUCUGCUUCCUCCUCCUCCUAUGGCAAAAUGGGACUUGUGAAAAGUAAUAAAGAGGUUCUGUAGUAAUGUGCUCCAUAGGGUGCUAUUCUCUCUCACACUAGGUUUAACAAGAUUAUCAAUGUCUCAUUGAGUCAAUCAAGUAAAGAGUCUGUGAGGUCUCUUCAGCCCUCUCUAUCUAAACAAGUAAAAAUGAGGUGCAGUACUGAUGGGACUGUGUGUGGCACUCUCAUCUAUCCCCCAGUGCAGGAAUGUUGAUGGCCACAAUCUGCAGUAUUACCAGAAAGCCUUUACUUUUGAGCAGGGUUCCCAAAUAACAGGGAUGCCCUCUGGGCCCUCCAACAAACCACCCAGGUUCUCUUUCCUUCAGGGGCUCACUGAUCUACAUUUGCCAUUUGAGUUAUAGGUUCCAGCAACCUCUCAGUUUUCUAAUUGGAGCCUAUGACAGAGGGACACUGGCAAGGGUUAGCAGAGCCCAUCAGGUUUCUGGACCUGUAAUCCCAUGGACUUGUAAGCUCCCGGAGUCAGCUGAAAGGUAAAAGCCUUUUGAUAAUCAUGUGUUUAGCUAUUAUUGGGCCUUGGCGGAGGCUGAACACAUGAGCCUACUGAAAUCUAUUCUACUGAAUUGACUACAAGAAGAUGGUAUCUUAAGUUGCAGUUAAAAUAUAAAGAGUGGUUAUAUGUAGAGUCUCCGAGCAUGUUAUAUGGAAAUUCAAAUAAACUCAAGAAGAAAGACCAUGAUCAUAUAACAAAACUGCUUUGUUUUCUGUAGUCAAAAGUUUUCUAAGGAAACCUAGACUGACAAUACAUUUUCAUUUCAUUUGUGGAGCCCCUGGGAGAUGGAAAAUUCCCAGUUAGAUCCUACAAACCACUUGUUUCUUCAUAACCUCACCUGUCAUGACUAUUCUUCACUCUGCUUGAUACAGACUAGCAACCUUGCUGUUCCUCAGAGUAAAUGGUUGUGCUCAGGCCUCAGGGCUAUUGCACUGGUAAUACCCUUGCCUGGAAGAGUGUUCCCUACAUACUGACAUGGCACCUCCUGAACUUCCUACAGAUGUUUUCUCAAAUGCCACCAUGUCAGGGCUUUAUUUUGUCUCUUUUAUCUAUCAUUUGCACUUAUAACCUUCUAAGAUACUUAUAAUUUACUUUUUAUUACAGAUUACAGUGAGUUUAUAAAAUAUUUGUUCUUUAAUUCUAGGAGUUUUUAAAAUUUUCUUUUUUUCUUGUUAAUAACUGGAGCAUGCAAAGUACAUGAAAUGAUAAUCUGGCAGCUUAACAGCCAUUCAAUAUAUAAGUGGAAUGAGUGUGACAUGGAGCAUCUCACUUUCAAAUUCUAUUCUCAUAUAAAGUAUUAAUUCAAUUUGUUCACAGAUGUUUUAGGCUAUGUUAUUAAAAGAAACAGCAAUCUAAUCAUAUGUUUUCUCUGGAUUGUUCAAUCUAUAAGCCACAAUCAAUUUUUGAAAUUUUAAAAUUUUCAGGUUGGAUAUUAAAAUACAGCAGGGGCAUGACUUAUCCAUGGUGAAUUCAAUAUAGCUCACAUAUGGGUCAAAAUAAAGGAAAAUAUAAAAUAUGUUAUUUAGCAUAAUGAGCAUAGAGUACUUUGAAGAUAGUGAAAUGAAAGAAAGCGUUACAAAAGUAGCUUAAGAUAAAUUUAGAAGUUCAGAAUUGAGGGAAAACUAUUUAAAGAUGUGAGAGACUAUCAUUUUAAACCUAAGGAGAAAGAGUCAUUAAAGAAAUUGAAUGUAAAGAUUCAAGGAGAAGAAAUAAAUGAUGCAGAAGAUUCCUUAAAAAUGUGUGGGAAAAUGAGCUAUGAAAUACAAAUGCAAGCAUUAACUCCCAUCACAUGUUCCUCAGGGGGGAAAUUAAAGAAAAAAAGUUAGUGUGUGUGAAUGUGUCUUGCUGUACACCAGCAUGCAGAAAGUGAGACUGUGGCCACCUGGAUUGCUCACAUGAAAAAUUCCCUCAGAGUGUGGUGGUGGUGGUGGUAUAGUUGUUGGUGUGUGUGUGUGUGUGUGUGACAGAGAGAGAGAGUGUGUGUUUAUGGUAGUUCUAAGGGGUUGGAGAGGCUUGUAAGUGCAUUGAUAGGCUUGCCAUAAUAAAGAAGAAGAGUGUAACAGCUUUAAAAUAAUUCCCUGGUGUAGAGAUGAUGCGAUUUACUAAAAUCAUCAAAAUCUUAGUAAUGUAUUAAUAAUAUUGCUUUGUUUUUCUUAAAAUUUGAAUGUAGAAAUAUUCUCUAUGCUUUUGAAUAAAAUCCAACUUUACUGAACAAUACAUUGUAAUCAAAAUAUUGACACAUUAUUAUUAAAAAUGUCAUCUCGAUGUAAAGGUGAUUUCAAUGACUGGUUCAAUAAAUAAUCAAU